UACGUAGGGUGCAAGCGUUAAUCGGAAUUACUGGGCGUAAAGCGUGCGCAGGCGGUUAUGCAAGACAGAUGUGAAAUCCCCGGGCUCAACCUGGGAACUGCAUUUGUGACUGCAUGGCUGGAGUGCGGCAGAGGGGGAUGGAAUUCCGCGUGUAGCAGUGAAAUGCGUAGAUAUGCGGAGGAACACCGAUGGCGAAGGCAAUCCCCUGGGCCUGCACUGACGCUCAUGCACGAAAGCCGUGGGGAGCGAAACAAGG
rnacentral:rRNA from 1 species